rnacentral:rRNA from 1 species
GACGAACGCUGGCGGCGUGCCUAAUACAUGCAAGUUGAGCGCUGAAGGUUGGUACUUGUACCCACUGGAUGAGCAGCGAACGGGUGAGUAACGCGUGGGGAAUCUGCCUUUGAGCGGGGGACAACAUUUGGAAACGAAUGCUAAUACCGCAUAAAAACUUUAAACACAAGUUUUAAGUUUGAAAGAUGCAAUUGCAUCACUCAAAGAUGAUCCCGCGUUGUAUUAGCUAGUUGGUGAGGUAAAGGCUCACCAAGGCGAUGAUACAUAGCCGGCCUGAGAGGGUGGUCGGCCACAGUGGGACGGGGACACGGCCCAAACCUCUAAGGGAGGCAGCAGUAGGGAAUCUUCGGCAAUGGACGAAAGUCUGACCGCGCAACGACGCGGGAGGGAAGAAGGUUUUCGGAUCGUAAAACUCUGUUGGUAGAGAAGAAAGUUGGUGAGAGUGGAAAGCUCAUCAAGUGACGGUAACUAAACAGAAAGGGACGGCUAACUACGUG